CUUUAGCUCAGUUGGUAGAGCACUCGAUUUGUAAUCAAGCGGUCGUUGGUUCGAGUCCGACAA
rnacentral:tRNA from 1 species